rnacentral:rRNA from 1 species
GACGAACGCUGGCGGCGUGCUUAACACAUGCAAGUCGAACGGAAAGGCCCUGCUUUUGUGGGGUGCUCGAGUGGCGAACGGGUGAGUAACACGUGAGUAACCUGCCCUUGACUUUGGGAUAACUUCAGGAAACUGGGGCUAAUACCGGAUAGGAGCUCCUGCUGCAUGGUGGGGGUUGGAAAGUUUCGGCGGUUGGGGAUGGACUCGCGGCUUAUCAGCUUGUUGGUGGGGUAGUGGCUUACCAAGGCUUUGACGGGUAGCCGGCCUGAGAGGGUGACCGGCCAAAUGGGGACUGGGACACGGCCCAGACCCCUACGGGGGGCAGCAGGGGGGAAUUUUGCAAAAUGGGCGGAAGCCUGAUGCAGCAACGCCGCGUGGGGGAUGACGGCCUUCGGGUGGUAAACCGCUUUCGCCUGGGACGAAGGGUGGGUGGCGGGAAUGGGGAAAGAAGCACCGGCUAACUACGU